rnacentral:rRNA from 1 species
UACGUAGGGGGCAGCGUGUUCGGAUUCGAAUUCGGUGGCGUAAAGAGCGCUGUAGGCGGCCCGGUAAGUCCGCUGUAAAAGUCAAAAGGCUCAACCUUUGAAUGUCAGUGGAUACUGCCGGGCUAGAGUCCGGAAGAGGCGAGUGGAACUCCUGGUGUAGCGGUGGAAUGCGCAGAUAUCAGGAGGAACACCGGUGGCGAAGGCGGGGUCUCUGGGCAGUAACUGACGCUGAGGAGCGAAAGCGUGGGGAGCGAACAGG